rnacentral:rRNA from 1 species
UACGUAGGGGGCUAGCGUUGUCCGGAUUUAUUGGGCGUAAAGAGCGUGUAGGCGGCCAGGUAGGUCUGCUGUGAAAACUCGAGGCUCAACCUCGAGACGUCGGCGGAAACCAUCUGGCUAGAGUCCGGAAGAGGAGAGUGGAAUUCCUGGUGUAGCGGUGAAAUGCGCAGAUAUCAGGAGGAACACCGAUGGCGAAGGCAGAUCUCUGGGCCGUAACUGACGCUGAGGAGCGAAAGCAUGGGGAGCGAUCCGG